AGUGAACGUUGGCGGCGUGGAUUAGGCAUGCAAGUCGAGCGAGAACCGUAGCAAUACGGGGACAGCGGCGAAAGGGACAGUAAUGUGUAGGUACCUACCCCGGGGUCUGGGAUAGCUGCGGGAAACUGCAGGUAAUACCGGAUAAUGUCUUCGGACCAAAGGUGUGAUUCCACCUUGGGAGGGGCCUGCAUCCUAUUAGCUUGUUGGCGGGGUAACGGCCCACCAAGGCAACGAUGGGUAGCGGGUGUGAGAGCACGACCCGCGUCAUUGGGACUGAGCUACUGCCCAGACACCUACGGGUGGCUGCAGUCGAGGAUCUUCGGCAAUGGGCGAAAGCCUGACCGAGCGACGCCGCGUGCGGGAUGAAGGCCUUCGGGUUGUAAACCGCUGUCGUAGAGGAGGAAAUGCAGGGGGGUUCUCCCUUCUGUUUGACCUAUUCUAGGAGGAAGGACGGGCUAAGUUCGUGCCAGCAGCCGCAGUAA
rnacentral:rRNA from 1 species